CAAUAGCGUAUAUUAAAGUUGUUGCAGUUAAAAAGCUCGUAGUUGGAUUUCUGCUGAGGACGAUCGGUCCGCCCACUGGGUGAGUAUCUGGCUCGGCCUUGGCAUCUUCUUGGAGAACGUUGCUGCACUUGACUGUGUGGCGCGGUAUCCAGGACUUUUACUUUGAGGAAAUUAGAGUGUUUCAAGCAGGCGCACGCCUUGAAUACAUUAGCAUGGAAUAAUGAGAUAGGACCUUGGUUCUAUUUUGUUGGUUUCUAGAGCUGAGGUAAUGAUUAAUAGGGAUAGUUGGGGGCAUUCGUAUUUAACUGUCAGAGGUGAAAUUCUUGGAUUUGUUAAAGGCGGACUACUGCGAAAGCAUUUGCCAAGGAUGUUUUCAUUGA
rnacentral:rRNA from 1 species